AUCUUUUGGCUUCAAGAGAGAGAAAUCCUCUUCCUCACUCAUCUGCAACCUCUGUCUCUCUCUCCAUCUAAACAUCUGGGAUUCUUCUUCUACUACUUAUCCAGCGAUACACAAACCCGUUCCCAUGGUGGUUAUAGAUCUGCGAUUGACAAAUAGAGAGACAGAGACGUACGGUGAUUAUAGAGUGAGAAGCAGAGAUAGAGAUUGGCAUUGCCUCGCUGUUGCCGGCGGCGACGGACUUAAAGCGUGUGUUCCUUCAUUUGCUCUCUGUUUCUCACUUUAAAUUUUUUGCAUUGAGUAGAUGAUAUAGCGAUGGUGUUGGUUUUUUACCGACGACCCUAUUCGGUCGUCUUGUGUUUCCAAUCAGUGGCCAUGAUGAAUUGAAGUUUAUCCUAAAAUCGAUGACCAUGAUGCUAACUUCAUCGAUUAACCAAAUAGGGUGGUGCUGAUCAUGGGCAAACUCCAAGUCAACAAAAAAGGAAUAGUAAAUUUGAAGGGUAUUAUGAGUAGGACUGUCCAAAAACUCGCAGCUCGGAGCUCGCUCGGAUUUAACUCGGAAAAAGCUCGCUCGAUAUGGCUCGGUUUGAAAGUGAGCCGAGCCAGCUCGGCUCGGUUUGAAAGUGAGCCAGCUCGGCUCGGCUCAUAACGAGCCGAGUUGGCUCGGUUUGGCUCGCUUGCUAGCUCGGCUCGGCUUAGUUCGGAUUAUUUUCUUUAUAAUAUAUUUAUUUUUAUAUACAUUAUAAUAUAUUACAAAAAACUUGUGAUUAUUUAUAUGUAUUUAGGCUUGUAAUUUGAUAUCCAUGGCAUAUUUGAAUAUUAAUUAUCUUGCUAAUGAACUAAUAUAUAUUUCAUUGAAAUUUAAAACUUAUUUUUCGUUGUUGAACAUGAUUUUGGCUUGUAACAUAUUAGCAUAAACUUAUUGAAUAAUAUUUUAGGCUUCUGAAUUUUGAGAGCUAUAUAUUAUAUUUUUCUUUUUAAAAUCGAGCCAAACCAAGCCGAGCCGAGACAGCUCGGUUUAAAACCAAGCCGAGCCCGAGCUCAGAUUUUCAGCUCGGUUUCAAAUCCGAGCCGAGCCAGCUCGGUUUAUAAUCGAUCCGAGCCCGAUCUUACCUCGGCUCGGCUCAUGAACAACCCUAAUUAUGAGCUGUAUUAUAAAGGGACGUGUAAGGUACAUGUUUCUGGUGGAGGUGGGAAUGGGUUAGUGGGUUCGAUGGGGGGUGGUGGUGGUUGGUGGUUGGCAGCCAUAUACAGAAUUUGUGUGUUAUUAAGCAGCUGGAACAAAUUAGACAGCCAAAAGUACUCAGAUGAUAAGUAUUUGGUUUAUAAAAAAACUCAACUAUUGUUGUAGUGGACACGAAGUAUACCAUGGUGUUCAGUUGCUGCAAGUUGAAACAUAAAGAUUUGAAGGAGAGGUAUACGUGGGUGUUGAGUUGAUGCAAGUUAAAACAUAAAGAUUUGAAGGAACAGGUGGAUACAAUCAAUUAGUUUGCAUCAUUUUCUUGGAUGAUGAUGGUGCAUUAAAGGCUGAGAAAGCCAACGAAUAGUAAAACUUACAUGUCAUUAAAUAUAACAUAGUGUUCUUGGAAAGGAUAUUAUUGUUGGUAUACUGUAAUGUAUAUGCUACUUUUUUGUUUACGCAAACAGUAAUAUUAUGCAAGUUAGUGUGGAUUUAUGUAAAAUAGCAUAUUCCAACGCCUAAUCGAUUGAAGUUACUUUCUAUAAGCCCCGCCGCAGCGCGGGGGCUUAAUAGAAAGUAAUGAGUUGGAGUGUGUUGUAGAAAUUAGAAUGUUUGAUUGAUUUCUGCUGCUUAUGUUGAAUUCUGCUGGUUAUGUUGAUUUGAGAUGGUUGCUGGUGUACAUAGCUUAUUAACAUGUUAAAUUGCAGUUUUAUUGAUUUCAAUUACAAUGAAUUCAUGUUGUGUUGCUGCAGAGUGUUGUUCUUGAUGGACAACAUCUUGAAUAUAUGCUGAAUUUGGUUUGGUUCGAAGGAGUUGAUUAGUAGGGACGUCGUUGGACUCUAGAAGUGCAUUUUUGGGAAGGGAUUGAUGGAUAGUACUGAUGAUUUGAGUUUCAAAAUUAUUUUUUCUGGAGAUGGAGCUGGAAGGUUGCGGGAUCGAGUGAGGGAAAAGCUGAAGGAAUUUAUGGGCGACUGCACAUAUGACACUCUUGUGGUAUGUUUUGUAUAUGAAUAUAGCCUUAUGGUGAUAGUACGUAGAAAUUGGUAGAACAGAUUGUUAUUUGUUUGUUAGGAAAUUUAUGAAGAAAUGGAAGGGCACACUCUUAGGUUUUAGUUCCUACUUUUUAGUGGAUUACAACAAUGCCAGUUAAGUAGCUUUUGCACCUUUGCCGAGAAGAAUGAAGUACAGUGACAACUAUGAAAUUAGUAUGUUAAUCUAAUUACAACGAACUGCAUUAUACCCGAUCAAAACAAAUAAUUCAACAAAUACAUGUACUUUCGCUAAGCACACUUUACCAAUAAGUAUCAUGUGUAGCUUGGUUUUAAAAAGCGCGCCUCAGGCGCGCUUAAGCGCGAGGCGCAACAAGGCUUACGCCUUGGGGCUUUUUCGCUCAGCGCCUAGAGUAAUUACAAGAAGCCCCAAAAAGGCGCACUUUUUUGGGAUUUUCCUGGCUUUUUUGUCCUGAGGCGCGCGUCUCUUGUACCCAAGGUGUUUUUAUACAUCUAACUGUUGUAUGGGUUUUUUGGCUUGUACGUACAACUAAAAUCAUACAAAAGCCUUACUUAUAGCUAUAUUUUGGGUAGGGAAAGCUAAAAACCUAUGAGAUAUAUAAUAAAUAUAUAUAAUUAGCUUAAGCCUCGGGUAUGAAAAGCCCUUCGCUUUUGCACUGCGCGCCUUGGUUUUAGACCUCGUCACUUUUGUGCGCCUCUCGCUUUUUAAAACCAAGACAAGAUGUGUAGAAUAGGUAUAUGGCUGUCACCAAUAUUACCACGUAAGUGACCAUCAUUUUCUUUUUCUUCAUCUAGAAAUUGUGGUAAGUGUGUUGGUAUUCAUUGUAGAAUAUAUUUGUUUUUGAAUACAUGGAUACUUUCGUAUACCUCCCUCAAAACUUGGUAUAGUAUUCAUUCGAUUACAGUCGAUUACUUGUGAAGUUCAGGCGACUUCUCCAGUCACCGAUUUGGGUCCGUAUGUUACAUCUUAUAGUUGAUUACUGUGUGAUUGGUAGUGCCUGACUUCUCUAUUUUUUUUCUAUGGCAACCCUUUUGCUCGAUUAGGGUUCACGAAAGGGCUGUGAUGAGUUUGAGGGCCUGAGAAAAGGUUACUGAAGCUAUUUGCAGGUACGCGCUGUGUGCAAGCCUUUGAAGGCGUUUGGAAUACAUAAAGUGAGUCUACAUUCAAGGGCCUCCGUAGAUCAUCAGGUUCAUGGAUUAAAGAGUUGUGAACCUGAGUUCCUUAUAUGCACGCCAGACAUAAAUAAAAAUCUAGCCCCGUCGCAUCGCGACGGGUUACUUUUCUAGUUUCAUAUAUUUUGUGCAUGUGUUUUUUGAUGAAUCUGAUGAUGAAGUUAGUUAGUCAUUAUUUCUCAAAAGAUAAUUAUAUUUAUUUUUUAAUUCCGCAUUGGUUCGCCCAUGGCUUUAUAGCCUAGUGGCAUCUUGGUGGUGGGAUAAAGCUUUGGGACCAAAAGGUCCUGGGUAUCUGGUGGUUCCACUGGUGGCACGAUGAUACUCCAGUGGUCUGUCAGAGAUCCAAAUUUGCCGUUCAAAAAAAUAAUCCGCAUCGGUUCGCCUCGUGAGGCGAAAGGAAAGUGUCUCGAGGCACAAUUCCAUACUUUUAAACUUUGACUGUUAGCAUGCCAUUGUGACUAAUGUAUAUAAAUUGUUACACUAAUAGUUUAAUCAGCAUUUCUGUACCCAAAAGUCAAACAAAUGCCACUUUGGUAGUUUAUUGUGUACAUGUGUUAUCUCUAUAUGUGCUAUGGGAUGAUGACAGUUAGAUAUCGUUAUGUGAGUCUCACAUGCUUUUAUCUUCUUCUUGAAGAUUAAGCAUUGCUUUUUGUUUCAUUUACUUGUUAAAUACCUCUUAGGCUGCAUUUUUUCAUCUUUAUAUCUUAAAAUUAUAAGUUAGCUGGCAAUUUAGGUUUCUACUUCUUCGUAAUGGGUUCUAAACGUAUGUAUUUGUCACUAUUUGAAAUACCGGUUCUGACACUCGUGACUGGUGGCAAAUUCAACCCAUUCAUGAUGAAUGGAUUUAGCAUGUAAAGUAAAUAAUACCUAAAAGGGAACAUGUUAAAAGUUGCCCAAAGUGUAUUUUAAGCUCACAAAACAUAUAAUUGCAUUGUAGGUCUUGCAAUAUACGAUAUAAUGCAGUAUAUUCGUUCGCCUAUAAAUACCAUAUGUUUGGGUCAAGCUGCUUCAAUGGGCUCGCUCCUAUUACAGUGGCGGAUCUAGGAUUCCGACCAAGCAGUAACGUUUUAUAAAUAAGCGGUAACGAAAUCGAAAAAACGUCAAAUUUUUCCAAAAUUUACACUAAAAACGUCAAAAAUUUUCCGGCCAAGCGGUAGCGGAGGCUACCCCUUGUUCCUUACUACAUCCGCCCCUGUCCUAUUAGCUGCUGGUGCAAAAGGCGAAAGGAGAUCUCUUCCUAACGCCACUAUCAUGAUCCAUCAACCUUCAGGUGGAUACAGUGGGCAAGCUAAAGAUAUAUCUAUUCACACUAAACAAAUCAUUCGUGUUUGGGAUUCACGAAAUGUGUUAUAUUCAAAACACACUAAACAAAUCAUUCGUGUUUGGGAUUCAUUGAAUGCGUUAUAUUCAAAACACCCUGGACAGAAUCUUGAUGUAAUUCAAAAACAUGUGGAUCGAGAUUAUUUUAUGACAGUAGAAGAAGCUAAAGAGUUUGGGAUCAUAGAUGAAGUCAUAGAUGAGGGAUCUAUGACUUUGGUGACUGAUGCUGUUGGGAGUGAUGGAAAGGGGAAAGUUUCAGAGUAGAUUUUGAUGUGAGAAUUACAUCUUUAACCUUCUUGCAAGUGUGAAAUCCUUGGAGUAU